rnacentral:tRNA from 1 species
AAGAUUUUAUGUUAAUAAACACUCUCAAACAAUAAACCUUCAAAGUUUAAAAUAAAAGUAAAAUUCUUUUAAAUCUUA